UGUAAUUAAUUAUAACCUUGUAUAUAUAACAAUAGCUGUAUCAUGUUUCUAAUGGCAGUAUUGUGUUCAAGUGAUAAAUAGGAAACUAUGUGUUUAGAUGUAUUAUUAUUCUGCACAAUUAUUGAAAAAGCAGAAUUUGGUAGUAUCUACAUGAAAGAGUGUCUAUACAAACAAGCAGAGCCAAAGUAUAUUGCAUUCACCACAUUAAUCAAUGAGGUUACCUAUGUUUGACAACUAUGAGUGUAGCUGUAUUUGAGCAAUGUCACUCCAGAUUUA